rnacentral:rRNA from 1 species
GUUGAACGCUGGCGGCAGGCCUAACACAUGCCAGUCGAGCGGAUGAAGGGAGCUUGCUCCUGGAUUCAGCGGCGGACGGGUGAGUAAUGCCUAGGAAUCUGCCUGGUAGUGGGGGAUAACGUCCGUAAACGGGCGCUAAUACCGCAUACGUCCUGAGGGAGAAAGUGGGGGAUCUUCGGACCUCACGCUAUCAGAUGAGCCUAGGUCGGAUUAGCUAGUUGGUUGGGUAAAGGCCUACCAAGGCGACGAUCCGUAACUGGUCUGAGAGGAUGAUCAGUCACACUGGAACUGAGACACGGUCCAGACUCCUACGGGAGGCAGCAGUGGGGAAUAUUGGACAAUGGGCGAAAGCCUGAUCCAGCAAUGCCGCGUGUGUGAAGAAGGUCUUCGGAUUGUAAAGCACUUUAAGUUGGGAGGAAGGGCAGUAAGUUAAUACCUUGCUGUUUUGACGUUACCAACAGAAUAAGCACCGGCUAACUUCGUG